UCCAGCAUGAGGAGCAGUCCUUGGGGUGUGCAGUGCUGCUGGUCUGGCUUUCUUGGGGGAGAAGGAGAAAUUAUCAUCAUCUGUCAAAAGUCAUCACCUGAAACCCCCCAGUCCCUCGUUCAACCCUGGGGUCAUUCCACUGCUGCAAUGAAUUUGUGCCAGGCUGGUUAUCGAGCUGUCUCUCGAAGUAUGACCCAAGUGACACCUCCAGUGAUAUCAUCAAAGUCUUUUCCAGAGGCUUCAAGGAAAGACAGAGAGAUAAGGACUUGGUAAUGUUGAGACCUGGAACACAUUAAAAACCAGGAUGCAGUGUUUCUCAUUGAGCUUCUGCCCAGGCUCUCCAGAAAUAAUGCAAGCAGCACGAAUCUCCCAACAGCUGCCAGUCAAAACAGCCAACUCUUGCAGCAACAUGAACUAAUCUGCAGCCACGCUGUUUGGCUUGCAGAUAACAGAACAUCUUGGGCAGGACCUUGGGUACGGCACUGUCUCAUUGAACAGAAGAGAGGGAACUGCUGCUUGUGGCACACAUUUUAUUUGGUAUGAGUAAAAGCAUAUUUGAUUCUCAGUCGGCACUGUCUACCAAUCAGACAUGCAACUGUUCCACGAAGAGUUUGAUUUUCAGAGAUGUUGAGAAAUUUUUUUAACCGAGUUGCUAUGAUGCUGUUAAUUUAACUAUGUAACACACUGCGUGCAGACUAUGACUUUCCUCUAAGGCAUUCUGUGUGGCUUCCAAAACUCGUAAAAGGAUUGCUGCAGUUUCUGCUCUCCUGAAGACCAGCAUGGAAACUACUGCUUUGGGCUACCUCGCCAUUUUUACCCUGGCUGAAAUUUAACAGAUGUAAUAUGGCUGAUUGUAUGGACAAAAAAUUUACUUUUCUACCAUUUUUCCUUGGACAUUUCAAGACCUAAAUAUUUAAAGACCUACAACUGUUUUAGGCUAUGUGUUUGUCAGGUCAAAGUAACUCCAACGACUACUUGUUCAGGAACCAGUCACUUAAAUGGAAGUGCUCAGUUUAUAUAUAUGACUGUUGCUGGUAAUACGUAAAUAGAUGUCUAGGACCUUUAAGGAAGCAUAUAGUUAAUAAACAGAAAAGCAUACUGUUAAUAAACAGAAAAUGAAGAAACAGCUUAUACACGCAACCAAGGACUUCUGUACUCCAUGAUGCAAUAAAUCUAUAAUGAAUGUCUGUGAACUCAAAUAUUUACUCAUAUACUGUACAUAAACGCUACCUUACCUAGGAGAUGUAAGAUGCCUUAAAGA